rnacentral:rRNA from 1 species
AUGACGUUUUUCCAGUUCAAAUUGAACUACAAAAACGUCGUAUAUUUUGGUACAGAGGUAGUAGAUUAUAAGGGUGUGAAUAUUAGAACUAUCAAAAGCAUGUCAUGUUGUAAUUUUCUGAAAGGCAUGCACUUUUAUCAGUUUAUGGUUCCUGUGGGCACAAAAGGUUGUCGUAAUUCAGGAAUAAAGAACACAUACAAAAAAAUACAUGUACUGCCCUACAACAUUUGUAAACGUGGCACAUACCUUGAUUCAUGCCUGAAAACUCUACCCUUAGAAAACAAGAUUUCAGAAGCCAGGCAAGAAACCAUGUGUCAAGAAGACUAG